rnacentral:rRNA from 1 species
GAUGAACGCUGGCGGCGUGCCUAACACAUGCAAGUCGAGCGGCAGCGAGGGGUGCUUGCACCCUGUCGGCGAGCGGCGGACGGCUGAGUAACGCGUGGGAACGUGCCCCAAAGUGAGGAAUAACUGCCCGAAAGGGUAGCUAAUACCGCAUAUUAUCUUCGGAUCAAAGGAUUUAUCCGCUUUGGGAGCGGCUCGCGUCGGAUUAGGUAGUUGGUGAGGUAAUGGCACACCAAGCCGACGAUCCGUAGCUGGUCUGAGAGGAUGACCAGCCAGACUGGAACUGAGACACGGUCCAGACUCCUACGGGAGGCAGCAGUGAGGAAUCUUCCACAAUGGGCGAAAGCCUGAUGGAGCAACGCCGCGUGCAGGACGAAGGCCUUCGGGUUGUAAACUGCUUUUAUAAGUGAGGAAUAUGACGGUAACUUAUGAAUAAGGAUCGGCUAACUACGUG